AACGUAGGAGACAAACGUUAUCCGGAUUUACUGGGCGUAAAGGGCGUGUAGGUGGUUUCGUAAGUCUGGCGUGAAAUAUCUCGGCUUAACCGAGGCAGGUCGUCGGAUACUGCGGAACUAGAGGACGGUAGAGGCGUGUGGAAUUCCGGGUGUAGUGGUGAAAUGCGUAGAGAUCCGGAGGAACACCAGUGGCGAAGGCGACACGCUGGGCCGUACCUGACACUGAUGCGCGACAGCAUGGGGAGCAAACAGG
rnacentral:rRNA from 1 species